CUACGCACUCCUACGGGAGGCAGCAGUGGGGAAUAUUGCACAAUGGGCGCAAGCCUGAUGCAGCCAUGCCGCGUGUAUGAAGAAGGCCUUCGGGUUGUAAAGUACUUUCAGCAGUGAGGAAGGUGGGUAUGUUAAUAGCAUAUUCAUUUGACGUUUAGCUGCAGAAGAAGCACCGGCUAACUCCGUGCCAGCAGCCGCGGUAAUACGGAGGGUGCGAGCGUUAAUCGGAAUUACUGGGCGUAAAGCGCAUGCAGGUGGUUUGUUAAGUCAGAUGUGAAAGCCCGGGGCUCAACCUCGGAAUUGCAUUUGAAACUGGCAAACUAGAGUACUGUAGAGGGGGUAGAAUUUCAGGUGUAGCGGUGAAAUGCGUAGAGAUCUGAAGGAAUACCGGUGGCGAAGGCGGCCCCCUGGACAGAUACUGACACUCAGAUGCGAAAGCGUGGGGAGCAAACAGGAUUAGAUACCCUGGUAG
rnacentral:rRNA from 1 species